AGCGAACGCUGGCGGCAGGCCUAACACAUGCAAGUCGAGCGCCGUAGCAAUACGGAGCGGCAGACGGGAGAGUAACACGUGGGAACGUGCCCUUUGGUUCGGAAUAACUCAGGGAAACUUGAGCUAAUACCGGAUAAGCCCUUACGGGGAAAGAUUUAUUGCCAUUGGAGCGGCCCGCGUCGGAUUAGCUAGUUGGUGAGGUAAUGGCUCACCAAGGCGACGAUCCGUAGCUGGUCUGAGAGGAUGACCAGCCUCACUGGGACUGAGACACGGCCCAGACUCCUACGGGAGGCAGCAGUGGGGAAUAUUGGACAAUGGGCGCAAGCCUGAUCCAGCCAUGCCGCGUGGAUGAUGAAGGCCCUAGGGUUGUAAAGUCCUUUUAACGGGGAAGAUAAUGACGGUACCCGUAGAAUAAGCCCCGGCUAACUUCGUGCCAGCCGCCGCGGUAAGAC
rnacentral:rRNA from 1 species